GACGAACGCUGGCGGCGUGCCUAAUACAUGCAAGUUGAGCGCUGAAGGUUGGUACUUGUACCCACUGGAUGAGCAGCGAACGGGUGAGUAACGCGUGGGGAAUCUGCCUUUGAGCGGGGGACAACAUUUGGAAACGAAUGCUAAUACCGCAUAAAAACUUUAAACACAAGUUUUAAGUUUGAAAGAUGCAAUUGCAUCACUCAAAGAUGAUCCCGCGUUGUAUUAGCUAGUUGGUGAGGUAAAGGCUCACCAAGGCGAUGAUACAUAGCCGACCUGAGAGGGGGAUGGGCCACAGUGGGACUGAGACAAGGCCCAAACUCCUACGGGAGGCAGCAGGAGGGAAUCUUCGGCAAUGGACGAAAGUCUGAACGAGCAACGCCGCGGGAGUGAAGAAGGUUGUCGGAUCGUAAAACUCUGUUGGUAGAGAAGAACGUUGGUGAGAGUGGAAAGCUCAUCAAGUGACGGUAACUACCCAGAAAGGGACGGCUAACUACGUG
rnacentral:rRNA from 1 species